AGUCCCAGCCUUCUCUGCCAGAGCUGGGGAACCACCGCACCUAUUUUAGGGGGAACCCCGCGGCAAAAGGGGCGGGGAAGGGAGCACCCGGCUCACUUUGGAGAGUUCACAGAGGUGCCGAUGUCUGCAGGUUAUUAGAUCUGGAGCAUGAUGAAGCACAUGCUUGAGCCCCCCACUGACAAACAUCGAGGAGGUGGGGGGAGGGAGGACAUUUUAUUUGCUGAAGCAGAGACACGGCUAGCACCCAAGUUGGGGUUGUUUAGGGUGAAGAGGGGCCUUGACACAGGGGAGCGGACCCUCCACGGGCCACCCUGUGAGGGUGUUAUAAGGGUCACCGCCGAAACGUGUACUUGGCAAGCGACCGUCCGCGCCAUUUUAGAGACACACAGAGGAGCGAGGGUUUCCGCUGCUGCUGCCAGAGACAACAGGCAGCAGCCAAGCCUGAGCUGCGCAGGAGGAGCAGUAGGAGAAGAGAGAUAGAUACAGCCGGCCUGGCACAAAUGUGCAUUUCAGCAGCACCUGCAUUAAAAACAAAGGAUGCGAUUCACCAUACUGAUUUGAGAAAUGCUGUCCAAGUUGAAGUCAUCUCCCAUUAUCAGCUCAGUCCAUGGGAAAUUCAGAACAUCAUCAUCCCAUGUGUACAAUCCCCUGCACCACAGGGCCUGCUUUUCUUCUCACGGAAUUCAAGGGGAACGUUGCUAUUGCCUUCAAUAGGAUCUGGCCUGGUAUAUGCAAAUUUCAGCACUCUACCCACUUCCAGGAAAGGGAGCAGGGUUUAGUAGCCAACUUUUUUUUUUUUGGCCAAAUUCCGAGCUGGUUUAGACUCCAAGCAGCCUGCUGUUGUCCCUGCGUUUGCCCUUGCUGACAGCCAGGGCAGAAUCUGACCUUUAGACUCUCAAGCUUAAGAAAAUGAAUUGAAGUCAUUAUCUAGUCUCUUGUUUUAGAGAGACCCUCCAACUCCAGGAAGAGCGUUUCCCCUACAGGUGUAUUGCUCAACUCCGAUAUCAAGGGGGUCUGUCUGAAAUUUAGCCCAGGUAUGUGCACACAAGUUAUGAUGAGAAAAAAAAAUCACACCUCUCUCGAACUAUUACAUUAAAAAGCAACACACACACACACACACACACCCCAGCUCAGCUUAUUAGUUCUUAAUCCGCGCGGCCGCUAUCUGUGCGAGCGCUCUGAAGUGCAACUGCUGCCUGCAUAGUGAGAGCUUUGUUGUAGGUGCCGAAGAGGCGCAGGCUACUCGCGCUCCAACAGCUGUCACAUUAUUUGCACUAGCUGUAAACAGCCUUCACAUUCCCCCCCUCCCCUUAACGCAUAGUUAAAUCCAGACUAACAAUCCACAGUUCGAGAUCAAACCAACAACAGCAGCAUUGUGUCUGCCUUCAGUGCUGUAGCA